UACAAGGCCCAUAUCUUUGGGUGACCUUUA
rnacentral:piRNA from 1 species